rnacentral:rRNA from 1 species
GACGAACGCUGGCGGCGUGCUUAACACAUGCAAGUCGAGCGGUAAGGCCCUUUCGGGGGUACACGAGCGGCGAACGGGUGAGUAACACGUGGGUGACCUGCCCUCAGCUCUGGGAUAAGCCCGGGAAACUGGGUCUGAUACUGGAUAUGACUCCAUGACGCAUGUUGUGGGGUGGAAAGCCUUGUGCGGCUGAGGAUGGGCCCGCGGCCUAUCAGCUUGUUGGGGGGUGAUGGCCUACCAAGGCGACGACGGGUAGCCGGCCUGAGAGGGCGACCGGCCACACUGGGACUGAGACACGGCCCAGACUCCUACGGGAGGCAGCAGUGGGGAAUCUUGCGCAAUGGGCGAAAGCCUGACGCAGCGACGCCGCGUGAGGGAUGACCGGCCCUCGGGUUAGUAAACCUCUUUCAGCUCCGACGAAGCGGAAGUGACGGUAGGAG